rnacentral:rRNA from 1 species
ACGAACGCUGGCGGCGUGCUAACACAUGCAAGCGAACGGGACUGAUGAAAGCUUGCUUUGAAAAGUCUAGUGGCAAACGGGUGAGUAACGCGUAGGCAACCUGCCUCUAAGAUGGGACAACAGCCCGAAAGGGCUGCUAAUACCGAAUGUUGUAUCUUUGCCGCAUGGUGGAGAUAUUAAAGAUGGCCUCUACUUGUAAGCUAUCACUUAGAGAUGGGCCUGCGUCUGAUUAGCUAGUUGGUGGGGUAACGGCUCACCAAGGCGACGAUCAGUAGCCGGUCUGAGAGGAUGAACGGCCACAUUGGGACUGAGACACGGCCCAGACUCCUACGGGAGGCAGCAGUGGGGAAUCUUCCGCAAUGGGCGAAAGCCUGACGGAGCAACGCCGCGUGAAGUGAAGAAGGUCUUCGGAUCGUAAAGCUCUGUCGAAGGGGACGAACGUGGGUUCUAUCAACAACGGAACCUAAUGACGGUACCUUUCAAGAAAGCCACGGCUAACUACGUGCCAGCCGCAGC